GCAUUGAGUUCUACCCUCAGAAGGAGUUUGAUGAGGAUUUGGAGGACAAGACAGAGAAUGACAAAAUCCGGCAGGAGAGCAUGCCCUUCGCGGUGGUGGGGAGUGACAAGGAGUACCAAGUGAAUGGCAAGAGGGUCCUCGGGAGAAAAACACCCUGGGGGAUCAUCGAAGUCGAAAACCUCAACCACUGUGAGUUUGCCCUGCUUCGAGACUUCGUCAUCAGGACUCACCUCCAGGACCUCAAAGAAGUAACACACAACAUCCACUAUGAAACUUACAGGGCCAAGAGGCUCAAUGACAAUGGAGGCCUCCCUCCGGUGAGCGUGGACACAGAGGAAAGCCACGACAGUAACCCGUGAUGAGCCCUUCUCUGUGUUAUCAUACAUAUCCCCCUUCUCUAAACACACACACACCCCAGAUACCACCUCCAGCCACCUCCUCCUUUCAGCUGUCCUACA
rnacentral:lncRNA from 1 species